rnacentral:rRNA from 1 species
AGAGUUUGAUCAUGGCUCAGAUUGAACGCUGGCGGCAGGCCUAACACAUGCAAGUCGAGCGGUAACAGAGAUUAGCUUGCUAAUCUGCUGACGAGCGGCGGACGGGUGAGUAAUGCAUAGGAAGUUGCCCAGUAGAGGGGGAUACCAGUUGGAAACGACUGUUAAUACCGCAUAAUCUCUUUGGAGCAAAGCAGGGGACCUUCGGGCCUUGCGCUACUGGAUGCGCCUAUGUGGGAUUAGCUAGUUGGUGAGGUAAUGGCUCACCAAGGCGACGAUCCCUAGCUGGUCUGAGAGGAUGAUCAGCCACACUGGGACUGAGACACGGCCCAGACUCCUACGGGAGGCAGCAGUGGGGAAUAUUGCACAAUGGGCGAAAGCCUGAUGCAGCCAUGCCGCGCGUAUGAAGAAGGCCUUCGGGUUGUAAAGUACUUUCAGUUGUGAGGAAGGUUGUGUAGUUAAUAGCUGCAUAAUUUGACGUUAGCAACAGAAGAAGCACCGGCUAACUCCGUGCCAGCAGCCGCGGUAAUACGGAGGGUGCGAGCGUUAAUCGGAAUUACUGGGCGUAAAGCGCAUGCAGGUGGUUUGUUAAGUCAGAUGUGAAAGCCCGGGGCUCAACCUCGGAAGGUCAUUUGAAACUGGCAAACUAGAGUACUGUAGAGGGGGGUAGAAUUUCAGGUGUAGCGGUGAAAUGCGUAGAGAUCUGAAGGAAUACCAGUGGCGAAGGCGGCCCCCUGGACAGAUACUGACACUCAGAUGCGAAAGCGUGGGGAGCAAACAGGAUUAGAUACCCUGGUAGUCCACGCCGUAAACGAUGUCUACUUGGAGGUUGUGGCCUUGAGCCGUGGCUUUCGGAGCUAACGCGUUAAGUAGACCGCCUGGGGAGUACGGUCGCAAGAUUAAAACUCAAAUGAAUUGACGGGGGCCCGCACAAGCGGUGGAGCAUGUGGUUUAAUUCGAUGCAACGCGAAGAACCUUACCUACUCUUGACAUCUAGAGAAUCCAGCGGAGACGCAGGAGUGCCUUCGGGAACUCUAAGACAGGUGCUGCAUGGCUGUCGUCAGCUCGUGUUGUGAAAUGUUGGGUUAAGUCCCGCAACGAGCGCAACCCUUAUCCUUGUUUGCCAGCGAGUAAUGUCGGGAACUCCAGGGAGACUGCCGGUGAUAAACCGGAGGAAGGUGGGGACGACGUCAAGUCAUCAUGGCCCUUACGAGUAGGGCUACACACGUGCUACAAUGGCGCAUACAGAGGGCAGCAAGCUAGCGAUAGUGAGCGAAUCCCAAAAAGUGCGUCGUAGUCCGGAUUGGAGUCUGCAACUCGACUCCAUGAAGUCGGAAUCGCUAGUAAUCGUAGAUCAGAAUGCUACGGUGAAUACGUUCCCGGGCCUUGUACACACCGCCCGUCACACCAUGGGAGUGGGCUGCAAAAGAAGUAGGUAGUUUAACCUUCGGGAGGACGCUUACCACUUUGUGGUUCAUGACUGGGGUGAAGUCGUAACAAGGUAAC